UACAGAGGGUGCGAGCGUUGUUCGGAAUCACUGGGCGUAAAGGGCGCGUAGGCGGGAUGGCAAGUCGGUCGUGAAAUCUCUCGGCUCAACCGAGAAACGUCGGCCGAUACUGCCGUUCUUGAGGGAUGCAGAGGAGACUGGAAUUCCCGGUGUAGCGGUGAAAUGUGUAGAGAUCGGGAGGAACACCGGUGGCGAAGGCGGGUCUCUGGGCAUUUCCUGACGCUGAGGCGCGAAAGCGUGGGGAGCAAACAGG
rnacentral:rRNA from 1 species